CACAGGGCCCCCUCAUCCAUCCUCUACCUAUUAGUGAAGAUCCGUUCGGCAGAGUAGCUGUCGACAUAGUUGCGCAGGCACUUUGGUGACUCUAGAGAACCUCGGGACAAUCGCACGUCCCCGUGACGGCGAGUUUGCAUUCAGAUGUCUGCCCUAUCAACUUUCAAUGCCACUUUCUGCGCCUACCAUGGUGACCACGGGUAACGGGGAAUCAGGGUUCGAUUCAGGAGAGGGACCCUGAGAAACAGCUACCACAUCCAAGGAAGGCAGCAGGCGCGCAAAUUACCCACUCCCGACGCGGGGAGGUAGUGACG
rnacentral:rRNA from 1 species